rnacentral:lncRNA from 1 species
UUCGGACCUUCUCCACAGCUUCAGCCUUGAAAACCAUAUGAACCUAAUACACAACAGAACAUUAUCAGCCGUCACUCCAUAUAAACCAAACUAACUGCUUCCCGCCAUCUCCAUCUUCCUCAAGAGACAAAAGUGCAGACUACUGGACAUUGGACAAAAAUACACACUCGUUCCUCUAGGCGUUUUCUCCAUCUUCAAUUACAACCAUGCCUUCUUCAACUUUGGACACUAGAACAAGGAAAACCUAGCAAAACCUAGGAUAUGGCCUUUUUCUUCAAUGAAAAAGCAAAAAUAGACCUCUAACCUAGAACCCUUAUACCACCGGCCAUCAGUUCUCUUCCUCGUAAAUGAACAAUAAACCGCAACUACUCCACUGAGCAUUUUAUCCAUCCUUUGCUAUAUUUUCGAGUGUUGAUUAGCAUAGACGUAAAGGGUGGAUUCCAGAUCAAUCAAGACAGUGCAUUUUUGCUCAAAGUUACGGAUUCGAGGUUCGGCCACGGUUCAGUCGUAGUUUAAUUCGAGUUACUGCUGCUCUAACAAUUGGAGUGGAUCAUUUGUUGUUCGUCUUGAUGGAGAUGCUAACUAAUAUU